rnacentral:rRNA from 1 species
UACGUAGGGGUGCAAGCGUUGUCCGGAAUUAUUGGGCGUAAAGAGCUCGUAGGCGGUUUGUCGCGUCUGCUGUGAAAACUCGGGGCUUAACUCCGGGCCUGCAGUGGGUACGGGCAGACUAGAGUGCGGUAGGGGAGACUGGAAUUCCUGGUGUAGCGGUGAAAUGCGCAGAUAUCAGGAGGAACACCGGUGGCGAAGGCGGAUCUCUGGGCCGUAACUGACGCUGAGGAGCGAAAGCGUGGGGAGCGAACAGG